ACUGUUAGCGGAAACUAGGGUUUUUCAUUAUGAAUGGUUGGCGGUCCUGCUAAUGACAUUUUUAAGUGCUGUCAUCUUGACUUUUAUUUUUAGUUCGCUUGUUAUUUGAAUUUAUUUUGUAGUAAUUAGAACAUGAAAAUAACAUCAAGUUAUGGGCAGAGUUUAAAUUUGAUGUAGGCAUGUAGCUCCAUUAUCAAUCCACCACAGGUAAUUUGUAGUAGCUAUGUUGACGUCACUGAUAAUCGAGACUAGAGCAGCACAGGAAUCGGUCAAAAUACCUUGUGAGCCCUUCCGUUCACACCCGAUAGAGUUCACUAUUGUAGCGCUAGUCCCUCCUGCUCCUGCUGGAUAUUUGGGCUUCCCAUUUUGAACAUUGACUAAUCCAAUGGUCUUCAGAACUACAGUACUUGCAUUUGAAACGAUCAAAGAAAUUGCGAGGUCAACGUUUUCUACGCCUCAAGAACUGGUUGAUGCGUUUUGGAAUGGAAAAUUGGUUCAAACUCAUACAAAAGAGUAUUGAUCAUAAUAGAGAAUUUUUUGAAAAACAAUAAAGCUUUAUCCAAUUAUAAA